GUUUUUUUCUUUCCUUUCUUCGACUUUUCCCCUCCAUCUCUUUAUCCAUAACCAGACCUUAGGAGCCCUCUGUUUCCUUUCAUGAAUCGGCCGGAUUGUAAGCGUGGAGACUGCGCGUUUUGAAGGAGAUGGUGAAGAGGCGACUCAGAGAGAAAACUGCAGGAUUUUAGAGAGCCCUAGGAGCAGAAGCAGAAGCAACAGGCAUUUCUUGCUGAGAGAUAUGUAUGAUGAUAUGAUGCUGGAUGGAGUACAGCCAAGUAGGGAUACAUUCCAUUCUGUCAUCAGUUAGUGGAAAGGUGGAUAAGCAAAAUGCUCAUUUCUUUGGUGUUACGAUCAACGAGCAACAAGCCGAGUGUGGUAUUGUAGAAAGAGUUACUUCAAAUGCACAAAGCAAAUUUAAGUUACUUUAUUUCGAGCAAGAUGUGAAUGGCGGUUAUGGUUUGGCCCUACAGAUGGAUAAUUGAUCCUCCUCUGGAGGUCAAUGUACCAUCAAAACGCACACCAUGGCCUGAUGCCCCUCCUGAACUCCCUACCAAUGAAAAUGUAGUGUUGGGCAUCCAAGAGCAUGCUGUAAAGCAUCCUACAAAGACCCGCACAUCUAGAUCAAAGAGACGAAGCAAGAGAAAGCAUGACACAAGAACGGUGGACACACAAGUUGCUUCAAAGCAUUCUGAACAAAUUUGAAAAUCUUAGCACGAAGACGGCUAGAGAUGCAUGCUGCUGUGUGAAUUUUAGGCAUCAUUCUUCAGCAUCAUAAAAAAAUUUGAAUUGCAAAGGCUUAUUAGCACAGAGGCAGAUGGCCUAACCUGGUAUAUGUGAAAAGAAUUCUUCACGCUGGGCCAGUUGAUAACAGGCAUUGGAGUUUGAAUUUUCACUUAAUUUUUCACAAAUUUUUUCUUUCUUUUAUAUAUUUUUGUUUGGGAUAUCAGGAUUCUGGUUCAGCAUGAGGUAUGCCAGCAAAGUCUUGCCAUGUCUGCUACCUUGUAGGACUUUGUAUCCAAUAUGUUUCGAAUCUUAUACAUAAUCUUGGAACAUAGGAAUUAUAGAGUUGUGUUCAGCUGGAUUUUCGUAGAAAAAAAGAUACCAAAAUGUAAUAAACAAAAAAGAAAAAAAAA